GACACGACGGAUACAGCAAACACAGCAUACGGCUUCUUUUCAGUUUUAUUCAUUCGCUUGCUCUGAAACUGGCAGGAUAGGUUUUCUUCCAUCCAACCCGCAUACAUAAGCGAAAGCAACAAUUUAAUAUAAAGUUACUGCACCAGUGGUAAUGUGCUAAAACAUUCAUCGCCCUGAUCUCUCUCACACGGUACGGUUCGUUUCGGUUUGGAACGCAUCAAAAUCGCGUUCGAAAGUGCUUUAAUUUAGCUAGUUUGUGUCGUUUUUAACGUGUGGCCUGUCUGUUGGUUAUCAGUGCUUAAGAAGUAUUCCGUUCGAUUUCACCAAAUGGACAGUGUUGUGGCAGCAAAAUUCCAAACAGCUGAAGCCAGGUUCCAUUACACAAACUGUUUCUAUUAUUCCUACAUUCAGUAGGUAAUCGUGCGGGGAAAAUCAGUUGACACAGAGUUUAGUUUUGAAACUGUGAAUAAAUUUACCACCGGUAAGAAUCUCGAAAGUUGUCAUGCAUUGGAAUUGAGUAUUUUUGACCAACCAUCGUUGUGUGUUACUGCACGGGAAAACUGAAAUUCAAAAAAUCACCUCGAAUGGCCAUAAACAUGGCACUGUGAAGUAGCAAGCAAGGUACAGAGGUUUGUUUUCUACCUGUGCCCAGCCACUAUCGGUUAGUGAAAAAGAGAGUUCGACUGUAAGAAAAUAUGAAAAUGAUACGUGUGUGCUUUUCACCGUGGUAAACGAUACUUGCCUCCUCUGCUGUGUAGUUCCUGUACCUCUUUUCGCGAAGGGUGGUCUGCUGCUUUGUUCCAGUGAAACGAGAGCUACUUUCAGCCAGCGGAAUACAAGAAAUUCAGCCCCAACAAAGACAGCCCGCCGGAGGAGAGUGCACCCAGCAACGAAACCAAAAGUGCGGUGCAGCAGAGGAUUGCUCGCUCCAGCAACGACCACCGCCUUCGCCGACGCCGCCACCGCCACUGCAGCAGUAAAUCUAUGCUAAUGACGAGUGAUCAUGAAAACUGCAAUGAUGUAGAACGUGAGUUAGCAAAAUGUGCAUAUCCAAAGUGCAACGGCAGCUUCAGUAGUGGCAGCAGCAAGUGGCAUCGCUGCACCCCGGUCGGGUUUGUGUGAAUUCAGAAAAUUAUUCGCGAGCCAGCAGCGAAAGGCAGAACCAGUUUCCCUGCACUGCAUUAUCAAUUUCCAUCUCGCGUCCGUGUGUGUAGCAGAGAUAUAUACACAAAGUUUUUCGUAAUAUAAUUUCAUCUCUUUCGGCAUGAACGUCUUGUGUUUGCCUCGCGUAUGUGUUCUAUCUUGCUAACUCGAUGUGUGUGUUGCAGCGUACGUGUCAGCAUUGCACUAUCGUCCCGCGUUUCCUACUAUUAACGACUGGUGGUCUCUAAGUGAAUGCGAGAAACUAAAGAUAAAUGACUGAUCGAAAAUUGCCAAUUAGUUUGUCGGACCACAGCGAGUUCGGAAUCAAUCACGGAGCUGGCGGCAUCAUCGGUGCUGGCGUCGGAAGCGGCAGUAGCAUUGGCCUGACAGUCGGUGGUGCUGGAAGCUUAGGGAUCGGCGGCAUUGGUGGCUCGUCUGUAGCGUCAGUGGCCGGAGUUGGAGGCAGCAGUGGGAAUGUUAGCAGCAAGCAUGUCAUUGCACGGCUGAAGCACACCAAUUCUCUCACUGCCGGUAUCCCGCCGGAACUGUACGACAAGGGCAAUCGUCUGUCGCACUCCAGUGACAUCAGCCAGGCGGACACGAUGACGUCCGUAACGAGUUCCUCGCUGGACUCGGACGAGGUUGACCUGUCCGGUCUGGUGGAGUCGGUAGUCGAUUCCGACGAGGAAGACAUCGCUGAGAGUAUUGAUAGUAUGAGUGUGCGCGAUACCGUUCGGGAGUGUUUGGAAAAGGAUCCCAGCGAUCGCACAAUGGAUGAUAUCGAGAUUUUGCUGGAGUUUACACAGAAGCUGAAGGCGUUUACCAAUAUGACCUUCGCUGUACGGCGGGCCUUGUGCUCGGUGAUGGUAUUUGCUGUGGUCGAAAAGGCAGGUACGAUUGUGAUGAAUGAUGGUGAGGAACUGGAUUCAUGGAGCGUGCUUAUAAACGGGCACGUUGAAAUUGAGCACAGCAAUGGGGAAAUGGAGUUUCUUCAUAUAGGAGAUAGUUUUGGAAUUAUGCCGACGAUGGACAAGUUGCACCAUAGGGGCAUAAUGCGGACCAAGUGUGACGAUUGCCAGUUUGUGUGUAUCACUCAGACGGAUUACUAUCGGAUAAAGCAUCAAGGAGAGGACAACAUUCGAAAGAUAGAGGAGGACGGACAGGUUGUAAUGGUAACAGAGUUGAGAAACAGUACAGGAGAAAAUGGUUCGAGGAAAGGUUACGUAGUUAUCCGGGGUACCGUUGAUCGGUUGACACAACAAUUGGUAGAAGAUACCACUCAAACUGAUCCCAACUAUGUGGAAGAUUUCCUUUUGACGUUCCGAACUUUCAUUAGCGAUCCAAUCGUUGUUUCAAAACAACUACUGAAGUGGUUCAAUGCAGAUGCAACAGAUGAUGGAAGUGACCUGGUAGAUGCAAUACACCAAGCAUCCGCAAAUGAUAUUUGCGAUCGAGUUACAAGAGUUGUGCUACUAUGGGUGAAUAAUCACUUCACCGAUUUCGAUACCGAUCCACAAAUGAUGGAAUUUUUGGAAUUUUUCGAAUCAGCGCUGGAGAAAAAGAACAUGCUGGAACAGUUGAGACUUUUGCAUGUAUACGCUCAACAUAACGCUAGGGAGAGAAAUGUCACCUUAGCUCGCAGUUCGCGCGAUGAGGAUUUAAAUUUCCAAAUAUCAGGAGGACCUGGAGGAAUUUUCAUUACCAGGGUCGAACCGAAGACCAAAGCAUACGAUGUGGGGUUGAAGAGAGGAGACCAGAUUUUGGAGGUGAACGGUCAGAACUUCGAACAUAUAACCUGUGCGCGAGCAAUGGAGCUGCUGAUGGGAACAACUCAUUUGAGCAUAACAGUUAAAAGCAAUCUCUGGGCGUUCAAAGGAAUGCUGUCGAAUGCUGACGGUGACUCUAGCAAGCUUAAAAUCGACCUAAAGAAAGGAUUGCGAGCAGAUAUUCUGCAAACGCAAAAGUCGCUGGAUCUGGUUGAUAAGGCGGGCUUGCUGCCAGCGCCUCAGUUCCUAAUGCCACUGCCGCUUAGAGACGAUUUUGGGCGGAAAGAUUCUGGAGCCUCAACGCCGUCUUCAUCACACAUGAACAAUAACAAGGGAAGUUUUAUGACCCUCGGUGGUAAGAAACGGCUACAAAAGGCUUUAAUCAAGAUGAAUCUGCUGCCAAAGAAUAUGGUCUUCCAAGACGACAACAUUAACAAUAAUAGCAGCAGCAACAACAAUAGCAACUACGACAGUAGCGACCGGUCUUCCGGUAUUAGUGUUAAUUUUUCUUCGCAAGCAUCCUCCAUUUCAACGUCUUCGAUCACUACUGCGGACUCCGAUGAGACUCCACCGACUUCAACGUAUCAAAGCAAUCCUGAUUUGAGAGAGCAUCCACUCACGCCCGCCAAGACACUAUCUAUAGACGCGAUUGUCCCCAAAAGUGGAGCUCUUUACUACGAAGAGCUUCGUGCAAGCGACUAUCCGGAACACAUACUCAAAGUGUACAAGUCGGACCAAACGUGCAAGUAUCUAUUGGUACACAAGGAAACAACAGCACAUGAAGUCGUGAUGCUGGCUUUGCAAGAAUUUGGAAUUCACGAUCCAAGUUCGAACUUCUCACUGUGCGAAGUGAGUGUCGGUGAGGGUGGUAUGAUUAAACAAAGGCGGCUGCCGGAUCAGUUGCAAAACCUGGCCGAACGGAUUGGACUGAGUUCGAGAUAUUAUUUGAAAACCAAUGGAAUCACUGAAACCCUCGUACCUGACGACGUCGCUCCGGAGUUGAUACGUGAAAGUGCGGUCCACUUUCUGCAGCUCAACGCCAACGAGCUGGCGAUUCAGCUUACGCUACAAGAUUUCGCUAUCUUCCGGCAGAUCGAGUCCACCGAAUACGUCGACGAUUUGUUUAGUUUAAAAAGUCGCUACGGCAAACCAAUGCUGGGUAAAUUCGCAGAGCUAGUCAACAGGGAAAUGUUCUGGGUGGUGACGGAAGUUUGCAGUGAGCACAACAUGAUGCGACGCUGUAAAAUUAUCAAACAAUUCAUAAAAAUUGCAAGGCAUUGUAAGGAAUGCAAGAAUUUCAACAGUUUGUUUGCAAUCAUUAGUGGAUUGGGACACGCGGCAGUCUCUCGGCUGAGGCAGACCUGGGAGAAGCUACCUUCUAAAUAUCAAAAAUUGUUCAAUGACCUGCAGGAACUGAUGGACCCCUCGAGGAAUAUGUCCAAGUACCGCCAGCUUAUACAGACCGAGCUCAACGUUCAACAUCCUGUCAUUCCAUUUUACCCAGUGGUGAAAAAGGAUCUCACAUUUAUUCACCUGGGUAAUGAUUCCAAAAUCGAUAGUCUGAUCAACUUCGAAAAACUUCGCAUGAUUUCCAAGGAAGUUCGCACUUUGUUGCAGAUGUGUAACUCUCCCUAUGAUAUUCUCACAAUGCUUGAACUGAAAUGUCAACCACCAAGCUCUGCAAUGGUAGCAUUAAACCAGAUGUCAGUUCCUUCCAGUGGAAACCUGAUGAUGCCUCCGCCGCCCGCUGUUCACAGUCAAACGGUGAAGCGACGGAAAAAAUCUGCAGCAGCACCCAAUCCAAAAAAGAUGUUCGAAGAAGCCCAAAUGGUUCGAAGAGUAAAGGCUUAUCUGAACAAUAUGAAGGUUACCACCGAUGAGGACGAGUUGCAUAGACUUUCGCUGGAGUGUGAACAGCAGGGCGGAAGUACACCGAACAACGUUCAGGUGAGGAAACGAUACCCAUCGCCAACAUUGUCUACCACUUCAAGUACCAGUUCGACCAGUGAAGGCAAGAAGGGUGCUUUGGGUCUCGGAAUGAGCAGCCUAUCGAUUGGAAGCUCCGGCAGUGGCAAUAGCGGUGCACCAAAAUUUGGCGCCGCCUCUCCGCAGGCAGUGAAAAAGCUGCUCUCACUAUCGGAGCAAACUAAAACUCGACCGCAUCAACCACGGCAUCCUUCAGUAGGUACGGUAUUACCACCUCCCCUGAACAACAUCCACCAUCAUAAUCAGCUCGCGCACCAUAACAAUUUGUCUCACUUUCACCACACCCAUCACACACCGUAUCACCAUCACGCCGGAAUCUCGAUCAGUCCUUCGCACGUGUCCAGCGGUAGCCAAUGUUGUGUUGGUUCUAAUACUACCGGUGGAACUGGUGGUGGUAACAUUGGAGUACCGCAUCAAUUCCCAAGUGCCCAUCCGAAUUAUUCGGUUUCUAGUGGGCUCCAUCUAUCCAAUAUGCUUCCCAAUCCACCCAACUAUAACACAACUAUGUCGAUGUAUCCCAACGGACGACCAGUGGUCAUGUCUAGCCGCUUAUUGGAGAGUUCUGUGGACUCCUCUAGUCAACUGCCGCCUCCGAUGGAACUGCCACCGGAGAGCAGCUCAUUCCGUAGUCCACCGAACUAUGCACAAGCAGCCCAUCGUCGUAUCACCGCCAACAAUCCGAUCAUGUCUUCGUUCUCUACAUCACAUCAGAACUUUGGUUCUUCAUCUCGCAUCAUAGCCGCUGUUGGGAUAUCACCAAUCACACCCAACUAUGUUGCGCCGGUGGUGAAUGCAAUGUCACCGAUGUACAACGCCAAUUCCGGUGGUCCCGUCGGGGGAGGUCCUACACUAACAGGAGUCAACAGCAGUAAUCUUCCACCGGCCAUUCCAGCUAGAAUGCAUGAAUCGAGCGGAAUGGCACCACACACGAUCGAAUCAGUUCAAAGUCCUCCGCCGCUGCCGCCGAGCUUAGACCUGUCGGUCGAAAGCAGCUCGGUGACAGUGCUCAGCAAUGCAGCCCCCGCUACUGCAACGUUUAAAGUAUAUGUAUGUUGUUACGAUGCCAAAGCGUCUUCCUAGAAAGCGAACGGAAAAAACCACCAAGAACAGAGAGCCAAACUCCGACGCCAAAUAAUGUGCAGCCUCUACCAGAGCGUAGUAUAACAUCGGUUUACGCGACCACCCCCCUAUACUCAGUACACGUCACAGUUUCACAAUCAUAUCUCUAGACCACGGGGACCUAGAUUUUAACCUAGAAUGCAAGCUGCUGUCGUAGAUGUGUUUUCUGUGUCUACCACCAACUAUUAGUCCAUCAAAGUGUGAGUCAAUUCAGGAUUUUGUUUGCAACUGUUUAGGAGUCUAUUUGUAAGUUUGUAGAAAGUUUUUAGAACGUACGAGGCAAAAGUAAGAAACCGUAAUUUUAGUAGAAAUAAUAGGUGAACAUAUUUACACGUGAGCUACGGUUGAUUUGUACCAGAUAUGUUGUACUGCUUACUCUAUUACUCAGUGAUAUGAGCAAAUCGUGUCAUCGCAGAUCGUACGCAAUACUAUAGGACAAUCGGAAGAGUGUUUGUUUGCAGGCAGGAUUCUGUUCUUUUUUGUCGAAAACGAAAAAUCAAAUAAGUAUGCCGGUAUUUUUUACACUGAGAACUCUACAGCUUGUGGCUUUGUAAAUAUGUAAAUGUGGUUCCGCUGCUUUGGUUCGUGUGUGUGUGUGAACUUACUGCCAGAUCGGAUAGUGAAAGCGAGUUAGGAUCGAAUCGAAGAAAAAAUAUGGUUCCUUAGGAGAUAUAACAAUGAAGUGUGACCUUCUUUUUUAAAGUUUAAAAAUCUAAAAUACAUUCUGUGUGCAGAAUCUUUAUUGGAAUCGGAAUAUUGGCUGCCAUUUACUUUUAAAGUUUAAGAAAACGUUUGAGCCGGGGAAUGGAAAUGCCUGUUUUUUUUUCAAAAAAUCCUAACAUUUUUUAUAGACAUUACAUCAGCAAUUCAAGCAACUUUGCAUACUUGAAAUCUCAAAAAAAUCCAGAUUUAGAAAAAAAAACAUUUUUUUUUCGAAAUUCUUCUGCUCAAAAUUUAUGAGAUCUAGAAAACUUUGGUCAAAGGAGGAAAGUGAAAAACUGUUUGAAUUUUCACAACAAACUAAAACUAAAUAUUAAAUUAAAGUGAUGGUCUCGUUCGGUUUCAACAGCUCAUAAUAAAUAAUACUGACUUGCGGCCGAAUCCCGAGAACACGUUUCUUUGAAGAGAAGAAAAUUUCGUCAUUGAAAGUAUAUGAAGAAAUUUUCUUCUCUUCGAAGAAAUGUGUACUCGAUAUAACCCUCGUAGUCAGGGUUGCCACAUUUAAAUCUGUGUUUUCCCUUGAAAAAAUCUGAACAUCUGUAUCUGGAACAAAAAUAUCUGUAAAAAAAGUCUGUACUGUUGAAACAUAAAGAACUUUGUAUUUUUUAAGUUUUUAUGGUACAUAAACAAAAUUUUUAGCUUAAAACGUGUGAGGAGUUGAAAAUAUGUUCAAUUUGCUUAAUAUUUAAUUAAAUAAAAUUAGGAGUGUUUAUAAAAAUUGAUGUCAAUUUCGAAAAAUCUGUAAAUCUGUACUUUUCGACGAAAAUCUGUAUAUCUGUAUACACAGAUUCUGUACCGUUACUUCGGCCAAAAAUCUGUAAAAUACAGAUUAAUCUGUACAUGUGGCAUCCCUGCUCGUAGUUCCUAGUUUACCAAUCAUUGCCAAAGCAUAAAAUCGCAUGGGAAGCAAACUGUUCCAGCAUUUGGCAUGGAUCCUCAUCGAAAAAUUCUUCCAAUUUAGCGCUUUCGAAUAUUGUUGGCCUUUCUUUACGCGGAAAAUUCUCAACAUUGAGAAUACCGUCUUGUAAGCGACGAAAUUAAUCACGGUACAUUGGCAAGCAGCCGCCGUUUUUUUAAUAGAAGAACAACCUGUUUACCACAUGCUCAGUUUGGUUCAUCACAUCUUAGAUAAGUCAAUAUUGACCAGCACAUACUUUUGGCGCCAUCUAUUGACAAAAAACGAAAACUUAUUUGCGCAUUUAAUGAAGUCUCGAAAAUAAUUCAGACAUUUUGUUUUUUGAAAAGGUCAGCAUUUCGAAACUUAUCUACUCAAAAACUAAAAGAUCUAGAAAAUUUUGGUCACAGAGUAGAGAGUGGAAUUGAUGAAUUGUCAAAACAAAGUAUUAUUCCUUUUCAAAGAAAAUGAACCGAAAAGUUUGAGCAAAAAAAUUAAAAUGACAUUUUUAUUAAGCAGAAAAGGGUCAACAUUUUUUUCUUAUUUCUUUCCCAAUUCUGUCCACUCUAAAAUUAUAGGAUCUAGAAUAAUUUGGUCAAAUUAUUUCAGAAAUCGCUUGCAUCAAAAAGAAAAAUUAAAUAGUAUUUUUAAUUCUUUUAUUUCUUCUAAAUUCUGACCUUUUUUAGACAGACAUCGAUAGAUGAAGCAGCUUUUCUUCCUUGAAAUUUAAUGAAAGCCAGCUUUUUUUCUGAACUUUUUUAUAAUUUGUUUUCUAAAUUAGCAGGUCUUUUUAUAAGUUAGAGAUGGGUUUUCUUUAAUUUUUUCGGGGUUAAGAAUGUGAUACAGAGAAAGAAUCUUUCUCUGUGUUAUACCUUCAAAUAACGUUUGCAUUAAAAAAUGAACUUUUUUCGAAUGGUGAUAAAAAACUAAAACAGAUAAUUGAGUUCAAUGAAUUUCCCAUUGGGUAUCACACCGAUAUUCAGCCGCUUCAUCUCCUUCGACCUUCGGCCGUCGUCAGAUCCGGCCAGAACAUCGCAUUUUCGUAACUUCCGGCAGGUACUUCGUACUAUAAAUUUCUCUAUUCACGGAAAGUUCAAAGCGAAAGAAGAGCGACUUCGACAUCCCCCUCUCACUGAUUAUCAGCUCCAGCAGCUCCUCUUGAGAAACUUGGCGUCUCAAAUGAACUUCACCCCGGAGCUCACUUCUUUCGUGGGGGAAGUGAAAUACGAAGUGCCCUGCCAGUUGUUGCCAUCCAGGGUGAGAUAGGUCUCGUCGUCCGAUUCACCGGGAAACUCGACUUAACCAUCUUAUUCAGCCGCUGCGUCGUUGCCUGAAGCUCCGAAACCAAUAAUGGACGGGACUGCCGCUUCCUGACUUGUAUGUCCAUGUUCGCCGGGUACUUUUUCACUGUUUGGCCGGUUGUACCGACCUCCAGCGACGUAGCCACUUUUCCCUCGGUCUUCCUCUUCAGCAUCCUUUGGAACUUCUCAAGGCGCUCAGGGUCCGGAACCGGGUUUUCUUCCGAUGCUCUGAUUGCUGUCCAAUAGUGCCAAGAUGUUGUAGAUGCCGGACUGGGCGUAUCCGGUGUUCACAAAGUGCCACACUUUUGAACGGAGUAGCUUCACUAUUUUCGCCAUCACGGUAAGAGUUCGACUGAUAGAGCUGUCAUUUUAUUUCUGCUGACUCAUAGGUUACUAAGAUUGAUGCUGCAUAGGUAGUUUCGAAAAUUUUAGUCCAAUGUUUAGUUCAAUGCAAACGUUAUUGACAUAACAAAUAUUUUUUCGCUGCAAAGAUAAUUGAAAUUCGCCACUAUUCCACCACAGUUGUUUAAAAAAAAGUUUUAACACAUUUAUUGCAAAAAAAAGUGGAGAAAAUAGAUUAUUAGUUAAAAAAAAUUAUUUUGAAUUUUUUUUCGACAUUUUUCGACAAAAUUGUGUGAUUCCACCGCGCAAAUCCACCGAAAAAAGGCCUAAAUUUGGCACUCCGUUGGAGUUGUCAGUGACGAACCGCCGUGCGAGAUUAUUAAUAAGGAAUGGAAUUUACAAAACUUUGAUCAAAGAAUAAAAUAUACCUAUUUAAUUAUUUAAAAACACACACUAGAAAAAUUCGAGUUUUAAACUUAAAAUGCGUUAUUUCACAAAAGCAUAUGCUGUAUCCUAAAAGUUGUUUCAACACUGCAAUAUGGGCACUUUUACAGAUAAAAAGUUUUCCUAGCCUUUUUUUUCAAAAAAAUGUUAUUCAAAAACUGCAGGAUCCACAAAAGUUAAGUCAAAGAAUGAAAUGACGCAGGACUACGCUAUUAGUUGUUCUUUAAAAUCUCCAUUGAUAACGAUAGCUUUGAAAACAUGUACCUUUUUCGAAAAUUCUCGAUGAGACGCAGCUCGGGAACGUUGGGUGGGCUCCUCGACUUGGAUACCACAUCGAUAUUCAGCUGUUCUAUCUCCUUCAACGAGCGCUUCGAGUUCUGAGCCGGCACCAGACCCGACCAGAACACCGCGCUUUCGCCCUUAUGGUGUUUCUCGGGAAUAACGCAACUUCCGGUAAGCUAUAAAUUUUCCCGGUUGUGGCCAGUCCGGAGCGAAAGAAGAUCUCCUUCUCGUUGAUUGUCAGCCACAGCAUCGCCUUGAACUUCACCUCGGAGCUCACUUUCUCCGUAGGGGAAAUAAAAUACGAAACGCCCUGCCAGUCGUUGCCAUCCAGGGUGAGAUAGGUCUGAUUCAUGAAAAUCGGAAAUUUUUGUCAAUUUUUUUUAAUGCAAACGUUGUACGUGGUGGUCUUAAAAAGGAUCGUUUUUAUUGUCUAAAGCUUGUUUCAGAUAGUAUUGAAACAAUAUUAUUAUUGCUACUCAAAUCUAUCAAAUACUUUUAAGCAAAAAUACGGAUAAAGUUUUUCAUCGCGGUUUCGAAGGAAUUCUCGAAUUUUUCCUGUAAUAUGGCUCAUUAGGCGGCGCACCCCUUCUUCGUUCAUCGUUUUCGUUAUCUUAUUCCGCGAGGUCUUUGAUUGAUUUGAUUGAUGUAUUCGAGAACUUUUUCCUUUGCCUUGAGUCUCCUCUUUAUAAUUGCCCAGUAUUCUUCAAUAGAGCGGAACUAGGGGCAAUUGAGUGGGUCAAGGUCUUCCGGAACAAACUGGACCCCUUUCUGUGCAUUCUCUGGAACAAACUGGACCCUUUUCUCUGCAAGUCUUAUAACCUCCGAGCACGGAUUUUUGCAAUACUAUUCUAUUUUAUGUUCCGGUUUGGCUGUUUGCUUGAUUCCUACCUGAAGCUGAAUUCUCCCCACCGUCCUAUGGGCAGCGCCGAAUUUCCCGGCCAAAUCACCGUCCGACAGAUUUGGAUUCUUCUUGAUGGUCUUGAAAAUCAUACCAUGCAGUUUCCGAUCGAAAGUUCCACUCCGAUAAUUUGCUUGAGGCUUCUGACUUUGUCAAUGUUUUCUUAUACCCGUUUGAUAACGCGCCAUACGGCGUUUCUGAGCAAUUUUAGCUUAGAUGCAGACCACAAUGGAUUUUUCAAAUAACUGUGGACUAUUCGAAGUCCUGCAUCAAGAUAUGUCGAACUCAUAAAAAUAUUAAAGAUUUUCAUACCCAAAAAAAAUUCUAGAACUUUUGAAUAAACUUUUGGGGUUCGAUAUAGACUACCUAUAAAUAUUUUAUGAAAAUAUGUUUUAAAAAGAAAUGGUUUUUUUCUCGAAUUAAAAUUUCUAUUGAAAUUUCAAGAGUAAUAUAUUUCAUGACAAAUUGAACUUCAAACCCACAUUUCAUUCUCCAACCAGAAUUAAAUAAUAAAUCAUAGUUUUUAGGCAGAACACGACAUGUGAAAAUUCGAACAAUUUUCCACAUUUCAUAAAGUUGUUUUAAUUAUAGUUGAUACCAAACUCACAAAUUUUCACUGUAAUUCUUUUGAGAAGUUUAAGCGUAAUUGGUACGAUACGGACUCAUAAUUUUUUGCAAGAAGAGAAAAAAAACAUUUUAAAACAUUUCCUUUAAUACCAAACCGCUUUGAGGAGGGUGUUGCUCGUUUGCCUGCACCGUCAUGAUCGAUGAAUCGCAGGGGGCGACAAGUUUAAUUGAAUUAAAGUCGUCCGUUAUAGAGUAGCCACGUAUAGGAACAGAAGCGUGCAGCAGCUGAGAGCAGCGUUCGACGUGUACGUAAUUGCUUCUCGAUUCAUUUAGAAGACAAGAAAGACAGUGACAGUAGGUCGAUCUCGCCAGUUAAGUCGUAGCCUUUGCGGGGUAACAUAUUCUUAUCCUUCGCUGGCCACAGUUUCGCACACAUCGUUCCAAACAGCCACCAAGCGCAAGAAUGUACAGAGCGGUAGAAUAUUGAAUGCGUGUGAAAAGCAGAUUUAUAGUUGAAGUGAAAUCUAGUGUUUUGGAGUGUAAACAAGACUCACGAGAUGCGAAACGCAUCACACCGCAAGUGAUUGAGUAAUCAAAAGCAGAUAAAUUCAACGGAAUCAUAUAUAUAUAUAUAUAUAUAUAUAUAUAUAUAUAUAUAUAUAUAUAUAUAUAUAUAUAUAUAUAUAUAUAUAUAUAUAUAUAUA